CAACUGCGACGGCGGCUGCUGUUGUUGUCGUCGGAGAUGACUGGUCAACGAGAUCGUGGGAUGACGGAGUUGAGGUAGGAUCCCGCCAUGGAAUAACCGGCGACGACGUUGUUGAGUCGCAAAUGAGUUUCCCCAUUUCUAGAAAGGGAGUCAGCUAUGGCGACAGCGACGGCGGCGGCAGUUGUUGUCGCCGGAGAUGACUGGUCAACGAUAUCGAGGGAUGACGGAGUCGAGGUAGGAUCCCGCCAUGGAAUAACCGGCGACGACGUUGUUGAGUCGCAGAUGAGUUUCCCCAUUUCUAGUAAGUUCUGCAGAGAUUUUCUUUUUUUCUUUUUCUUGUUUUCAAGCAAUAGCGGAAAGAGAAAGUAGGGGAAAAGGAGAGAGAGUACAAGACAGGGGAAACGGCUAGAUUUUACAGAAGUUGAAAGGUAUGGACACGUGGACCAAUCAAUGUCUUAAUUUACUGUUUUCAAG
rnacentral:lncRNA from 1 species